UUAGGGAUGCAACAACUAAUCGAUAUAAUCUAUAAUGAAAUUCGUUGUCAACGAAUGCCGUUAUCGAUUAGUUGGGCUGAGCACGUGACGGGGGAGCGUGACUGCAAAAUAACGCACACGAUAUGGCGGAGAGUACAGAUCAACCGGCAGCAGGAAAAAGUGUGCGUCCCAAGUCAUCCAAGGCUUGGGAGCAUUUUAUAUUAAACGCAACAAAGAAGACUGUAACCUGCAAGCUAUGCAAAGCUGAGCUUGUGUGGCAUGGAAGUACCACAGUGAUGCACGAGCACAUGAAAAGAAAACACACUGGUGUUACGGAUGAAGGCGAAACAUCAGCACGAAAAGAACAACUCCGCAUGAGUGAAUUUGUUCAAAGGAGAAGUGAGCCAGCCUCAACCCAGAGCAUGUGGACA